rnacentral:rRNA from 1 species
AGUUUGAUCCUGGCUCAGAUUGAACGCUGGCGGCAUGCCUUACACAUGCAAGUCGAACGGCAGCGGGCCUUCGGGUGCCGGCGAGUGGCGAACGGGUGAGUAAUGCAUCGGAACGUGCCAUUGAGUGGGGGAUAACGUAGCGAAAGUUGCGCUAAUACCGCAUAUUCUGUGAGCAGGAAAGCAGGGGACCGCAAGGCCUUGCGCUCUUUGAGCGGCCGAUGUCAGAUUAGCUAGUUGGUGAGGUAAAGGCUUACCAAGGCGACGAUCUGUAGCGGGUCUGAGAGGAUGAUCCGCCACACUGGAACUGAGACACGGUCCAGACUCCUACGGGAGGCAGCAGUGGGGAAUUUUGGACAAUGGGGGCAACCCUGAUCCAGCCAUGCCGCGUGAGUGAAGAAGGCCUUCGGGUUGUAAAGCUCUUUCGGCCGGGAAGAAAUCGCAUGGGUGAAUACCCUGUGUGGAUGACGGUACCGGAACAAGAAGCACCGGCUAACUACGUG